rnacentral:rRNA from 1 species
CGACUCUCGGCAACGGAUAUCUCGGCUCUCGCAUCGAUGAAGAACGUAGCGAAAUGCGAUACUUGGUGUGAAUUGCAGAAUCCCGCGAACCAUCGAGUCUUUGAACGCAAGUUGCGCCCGAAGCCUUCUGGCCGAGGGCACGUCUGCCUGGGCGUCACG